CCCAACUAUCCCUAUUAAUCAUUACGUCGAUCCUAGAAACCAACAAAAUAGGGUCAAACGUCCUAUUUCAUUAUUCCAUGCUAAUGUAUUCAAGCGUUAGCCUGCUUUAAACACUCUAAUUUUUUCAAAGUAACAGUCUGAUUCCCCACGACACCAAAUUAAUGACAUCGCGGCUCCUCAGAGGGAGAAACCAACAAAACCAGUACGUACCAUAGGCACGACCAGUUAGUUGAUCCCGAAAUUCAACUACGAGCUUUUUAACUGCAACAACUUUAAUAUACGCUAUUGGAGCUGGAAUUACCGCGGCUGCUGGCACCAGACUUGCCCUCCAA
rnacentral:misc_RNA from 1 species